CAAACAGACAGAACCAAGAUUCCACAUGAGCCUCUUCACCAAGGAGUACCAUCGCGUGCGUCCAAAAUAGUUUCUUAGCCUAUGGUGCCUUAGUCAGAAACCGUUUACCUAUCUUGGACCGAAACUAACACUAUCUCCAAAGAGACCGAAGUGAGAUUCUAUAUGACACAUGUCAUCUAGGAGUUCUAUUGGGUGCUUCCAAAUAUAUUUCUAAGCGUAUGGUACGUUUGAUGCAAUUCGUGCACCUAUCUUGCAUCAAGAUUAGUACUAUCUCCAAACAAAGCAAACUGAGCUUCCACUUGAGCCCUUUUUCCGAGGAGUAUCAUCGAGUGCAUCUAAAAUGGUUCUUAGCCUAUGAUGCAUUAGGCGCAAACUGUGUACCUAUCUUGCACCAAAACUACCUCUGUCUCCAAACAAACCAAAGCGAGAUUCUAUAUGACACAUGUCAUCUAGGUGUUCUAUUGGGGUGCGUCCAAAUGGAUUUCUUAGCAUAUGGUAUGUUCCAUGCAAACUGUAACACCUCCGUGUUAAGCAUGCAUUAUGCAUAUAACUAAUUAACCUUAAACCUUCAUUUAAGCAUGGCAUAAGCAUC
rnacentral:lncRNA from 1 species